UGCAUUCUCACUGACACUACACCAAAUAGAGGGUACAAGCACUGGUUUUAUGGCCAGAAAUAGAUUUGAACAAAAAAAGCUAAAGCAAACGAAAGGGAGGAAAGGUAAGUUCUAAGAAAUUCUUACUUGAUUUCCUGGAUAUUGUUAAGCUGAGGUAAGAGGUCUAACAACUUCUUUAGACCUUUGUUUCCCAGAGAAUUGUUGGAAAGACUGAGAAAGCCAAAGAACAGGUGGGGGUAAACAGACACAAACAGAGAAACUUUUCACAACCCAACUACCUUAAACUUUUCACAAACCAACUCUCUAAAACUUUUCACAACCUAACUCUCUUUUCACAACUCAGAGCACUUACUCCAGCAGAGUCAGAGCAGAGCAGUCCGUCAGAUUCUCACACAGAUGGUCCAAGUGAGGGGGAAGAAGAGCACAGCCAAUCAGACUGUACACAGAGGGGUUAAUGAGAAACGAGGAUGAAAAGAAGAGACAAUAUCGUAUAACUUUAUAACCAUUAUCCAUAUUGUUAUACACAGUGAAUACAGUAUAUAACAAUUUCUAUAUUGUACAUACCGAAGUUUCUUAGACAUCUCAGGAUGUUGUUUCUCUAUCCCCCCAGCAAAAAGUAUAGACACACGCACAGGGUCCUGCAGGCUGUCAUGAGGAAACAUGGGGGAAAUGCACAUCAGUCAGUGUUAAGGUAACAUUUUCAGAGCAUUCUAAAAAAUCAUGAUCAUCGAAGUUGUACAUUAUAAAAGGCACCACAGUAUCGUAAUUGAUUGCUUGUUUAUAACGUCUGGUUUGGGCCUAUCACAAGCCACAAGACAGAGACACCCUCUGAAGUGUGACGCCACCAGGAAGUGAUGAGUCUGAUCUGACUUGUUCAAGGACACUGGGUACAUAUUCACUUACUCCAGGACAGAGAGACCAGGACAUCUCGCUAGCAACUGACACAGUCUGUUCAUCUGUUCGUCUUGUUUUGCCAGGUCAACCAGCACUUCUCCUAGCUCCUAUUUUUCCCAGUCUGUUUUUUCCUAGCCCUCCUGGUUUUGACCCGUGCCUGUCCUGACGCCGAAUCCGCCUGCCUGACCACUCUGGCUGUUCUGACCUCGAGCCUGCCUAUCCCCUUGUACUGUUUGGACUUGGACCUGCUCACUGAACCCCUGCCUGUCCUGACCUCGAGUCUGUCUAUCCCCUGGUACUGUUUGGACUCUGACCUGGUUUAUGAACUCUCGCCUGUCCCCGACCUGCCUUUUGCCUACCCUUUUGGUGUAAUAAAUAUCGGAGCUCAACCAUC